GAGGGUAUAGCUCAAGUGGUAGAGUGCAUGCUUAGCACAUGCAAGGUCCUGGGUUCAAUCCCCAGUACCUCCU
rnacentral:tRNA from 1 species